rnacentral:lncRNA from 1 species
UUAGGGUUCAUAUGAAACCCAAAAAGUUUCUGAAAUAUGAAAUUAAGCACCACCAAAUUAAGGUUUAUCAAAAUCAAAUUGGGUUCGAGAUUGAAGACGCAACAAAUAACAGAUUCAUAGACUUUGAGAUUGGAGUAGAGUCCAAUGCCUCAUAGGGCAUCUCCUUCACCUUCUUCGCCGUCAAAUACAUUCGUUACGACCAAGACCUCGCCAAAUCAAAAUUUGGCACUUCGCACCCUUGGUUUGCCCUCGAUGACGUUGUUUUCGCCCUCGCAGUUGUCCUCUUCCUCGUCCUCACCACCGGCGUCGGGGACGACCCACCUCUGCCACAACAAAAAGAAGAAGAAAAUGAAAACAGAGUAAGGGUUCGUCGGAGGUUG